rnacentral:rRNA from 1 species
UGGGGAAUAUUGCACAAUGGGCGCAAGCCUGAUGCAGCCAUGCCGCGUGUAUGAAGAAGGCCUUCGGGUUGUAAAGUACUUUCAGCGGGGAGGAAGGGAGUAAAGUUAAUACCUUUGCUCAUUGACGUUACCCGCAGAAGAAGCACCGGCUAACUCCGUGCCAGCAGCCGCGGUAAUACGGAGGGUGCAAGCGUUAAUCGGAAUUACUGGGCGUAAAGCGCACGCAGGCGGUUUGUUAAGUCAGAUGUGAAAUCCCCGGGCUCAACCUGGGAACUGCAUCUGAUACUGGCAAGCUUGAGUCUCGUAGAGGGGGGUAGAAUUCCAGGGGUAGCGGUGAAAUGCGUAGAGAUCUGGAGGAAUCCCGGUGGCGAAGGCGGCCCCCUGGACGAAGACUGACGCUCAGGUGCGAAAGCGUGGGGAGCAAACAGG